rnacentral:rRNA from 1 species
UCCGCAGGGGGUUUGCUAAGUCUGAUGUGAAAUCCUAUGGCUCAACCAUAGAACUGCAUUGGAAACUGGCGAACUAGAGUAUCGGAGAGGAGAGCGGAAUUCCUGGUGUAGCGGUGGAAUGCGUAGAUAUCAGGAAGAACACCGAAAGCGAAGGCAGCUCUCUGGACGAUUACUGACCCUCAGGGACGAAAGCAUGGGGAGCAAACAGGAUUAGAUACCCUGGUAGUCC